UACGUAGGGUGCGAGCGUUAAUCGGAAUUACUGGGCGUAAAGCGUGCGCAGGCGGUUCGUUGUGUCGGCGGUGAAAGCCCCGGGCUCAACCUGGGAAUGGCCGUUGAAACUGGCGAACUGGAGUGUGGCAGAGGGGGGUGGAAUUCCGCGUGUAGCAGUGAAAUGCGUAGAUAUCAGGAGGAAUACCGAUGGCGAAGGCAGGUCUCUGGGCUGACACUGACGCUCAUGCACGAAAGCGUGGGGAGCAAACAGG
rnacentral:rRNA from 1 species